CUUCCCUGCGCAUGAUGAUACAUGAUGUUGGUAGGGACAUCUGAGAAAAUGAUGAGGACCAACAUCGCUGAGCAGGCCAG
ensembl:snoRNA